AUUGAACGCUAGCGGCAGGCCUAACACAUGCAAGUCGAACGAGUGGCGGACGGGUGAGUAAUGUCUGGGAAACUGCCCGAUGGAGGGGGAUAACUACUGGAAACGGUAGCUAAUACCGCAUACCAUCGGAUGUGCCCAUGUGGGAUUAGCUAGUUGGUGGGGUAAUGGCUCACCUAGGCGACGAUCCCUAGCGGGUCUGAGAGGAAGCCCAGCCACACUGGAACUGAGACACGGUCCAGACUCCUACGGGAGGCAGCAGGGGGGAAUAUUGCACAAGGGGCGAAAGCCUGAUGCAGCCAUGCCGCGUGUAUGAAGAAGGCCUUCGGGUUGUAAAGUACUUUCAGCGAGGAGGCGUUACUCGCAGAAGAAGCACCGGCUAACUCCGUGCCAGCAGCCGCGGUAAUAC
rnacentral:rRNA from 1 species